ACUCCUACGGGAGGCAGCAGUGGGGAAUAUUGGACAAUGGGCGCAAGCCUGAUCCAGCCAUGCCGCGUGAGUGAUGAAGGCCCUAGGGUUGUAAAGCUCUUUCACCGGUGAAGAUAAUGACGGUAACCGGAGAAGAAGCCCCGGCUAACUUCGUGCCAGCAGCCGCGGUAAUACGAAGGGGGCUAGCGUUGUUCGGAUUUACUGGGCGUAAAGCGCACGUAGGCGGACUAUUAAGUCAGGGGUGAAAUCCCGGGGCUCAACCCCGGAACUGCCUUUGAUACUGGUAGUCUUGAGUUCGAGAGAGGUGAGUGGAAGUCCGAGUGUAGAGGUGAAAUUCGUAGAUAUUCGGAGGAACACCAGUGGCGAAGGCGGCUCACUGGCUCGAUACUGACGCUGAGGUGCGAAAGCGUGGGGAGCAAACAGGAUUAGAUACCCGUGUAGUCCCAUGA
rnacentral:rRNA from 1 species